rnacentral:rRNA from 1 species
UACGUAGGGUGCGAGCGUUAAUCGGAAUUACUGGGCGUAAAGCGUGCGUAGGCGGUUGCACAAGCUCGAUGUGAAAGCCCCGGGCUUAACCUGGGAAUGGCAUUGAGGACUGUGCGGCUUGAGUGCGGCAGAGGGAGGUGGAAUUCCACGUGUAGCAGUGAAAUGCGUAGAGAUGUGGAGGAACACCGAUGGCGAAGGCAGCCUCCUGGGCCGACACUGACGCUGAGGGCACGAAAGCGUGGGGAGCAAACAGG